rnacentral:rRNA from 1 species
GACGAACGCUGGCGGCGUGCUUAACACAUGCAAGUCGAACGGAAAGGCCCUGCUUUUGUGGGGUGCUCGAGUGGCGAACGGGUGAGUAACACGUGAGUAACCUGCCCUUGACUUUGGGAUAACUUCAGGAAACUGGGGCUAAUACCGGAUAGGAGCUCCUGCUGCAUGGUGGGGGUUGGAAAGUUUCGGCGGUUGGGGAUGGAUUCGCGGCUUAUCAGCUUGUUGGUGGGGUAGUGGCUUACCAAGGCUUUGACGGGUAGCCGGCCUGAGAGGGUGACCGGCCACAUUGGGACUGCGGUACGGCCCAGACUCCUACGGGAGGCAGCAGUGGGGAAUAUUGCACAAUGGGCGGAAGCCUGAUGCAGCAGCGCCGCGUGCGGGAUGACGGCCUUCGGGUUGUAAACCGCUUUCGCCUGUGACGAAGCGUGAGUGACGGUAAUGGGUAAAGAAGCACCGGCUAACUACGUG